UGUUUUAUGUUAGUAGAUGCACUGUGGUACGCUGAGUUUGUUUCAACUUAGACUAAGCAAAAAUAUACACUUUCUGAAGUGUUCCUGUGCAUUUGCAUUUCCUCUUUUGUCAAAUUUCAUUUGCAUAUAUUGUGCUCAUUUGUAAGGACUGUUGUAUAUCUAAUGUCAGUUUGUAAUUGUGCAUUAUUCCAAAUUACUGUUAGCAUAAUAGUUGCCUCUUCACAAAUCUACAUUCAGAAGCCAGUACAAGGAAUAAUGUGAAUAGUCGGUGGGAUGUCCUGGGAGUGGCUCAGUUGCUGAGACCUUCCUCCUUGUCUACUCCCAAAACACUUGUUUUGUUGGGAUCUUGGUUUCGUUAUUCUGUUUUCAGAAAUGUUUCAUACUUUGAUUUAAUUUAAUAACAUCAUGUUUUGGCUUUUACUUCUGAAGUAAUAUAUAUUUAUGCUAUAAUUCAAAUAUAUGUUCAAACAAUAUUAAUGUAAAUUUAUAGUGUAUUUGGAGUGUUGUUCUGAUUGAGGAGUAGGGUGUUCAAAUUGCUAGUUUAUAAGUUUUCAUCAGGAACACAUUUAGUCUAUGGGACGUGAUUGGAAGAGGUUUUAGACCUAUGCCCAGAUUUUGUUGCUUUGUUGCUAUGCUUAGAGUUCCAUCAGCUGUACAUACUACCUAUUCGAGAAUUCUUUUUUAAACACAAAUGUCCUGCAAGAGGUAAAAUAUUAAGCCUUUUCAGGGAGUUACGAAGAGUAGGGAACUCAACUUUGGGUGGAAAAGAGAGGCACCAUCCAUUCUCUUUGAGGCAAUUUGAUAAGAUUUCUGCUACUACUUUAGUGUAAGCUUCAACCAUUCCUUCCUUCCUUCCCUUUUUUUUUUUUUUUCUUUUCUUUUCAUGAAGAACCAGAGGUAAUUUUAGAGAAUUAACGUCUUUCUAGUGAUGGGUAUAGUGACAAGUUUGGGAAGAGAAGAGCUAAAGAAAGAGAAAGUUGAUAAAGCUUAGCUUAAUUCAGAUUUUUGCCUAGGACUAUUAAUAUCCAUUUAGUUGGAGUAAAGACACUUAGGAAAUUCAGGUGAUAAAGAACCCUCAUUGCAUGCAGAUCUUAAGGAAUUUAAUUUUCUGUACCAAAGACUGUGUUUGUGUUUAUAUAAAAUCUAAUUUUGUUAGAAGUACCUUGAUUAAAGAUCUUUAAGAUCUGGGCAUUCUUACAUUCCCUUUGGCCAUUCCAGAAAACUUCAACAAUUACUUUUUAAUCUUCUAAUUUAGCAGCAACUUAAAACUUUUUUAUUCUACAGAUUGCUCAGAUCUUAUGAUUAAUUUGAAUUGAGAGAAAAGUGAGUGUUUAUUCUCUCCCACAUUUAAAUAGCCUGUUCUUGCCUAAACACAACAUAGACUUUGUUGAUUUUUAUAUUGUUGUUAAAUAUGUCUUUCAAAGGUUACUCACAGAUAAAUGAUACUCACGUUUUUGCAUUCAGUUUUACUAUAUGAGGUAGUAGUAUAUGAGGAAAGGAACAAAAACUACAUUUGUAGAUGAGCCUUUGAAGCUUGCAGAGCUUCAUUUUGACUGCUGGCAGGUUCCCUUCCUAAUGGACCUGUGCCAGUGAUCUUGUGGUUGAAAUCAGAAGUUUCUCCUGCUUGUAAUUUUGAGUAGGAAUUUUGGAUUACUGCUCCAUGCCUCCACCUGCUGGUAGGGAGGGCUCUUCGUUUUCUGAAGAUGAUGGCGAGAGAGAGGAGAGGCUGAAAGCAGGGCAGGGAGAAUUGGGGGAAGAAGGAGUAAACUGACCUUAGAGACAAUACAUUAUUUGCCCAAGGCAUCACAAGAACUUUGAGAAGCACCUGUCAUGUUCCACACCCUUACUUUUAACCUAGCCUGCCUCGGUGAAGCAUGAAUCUUCUUUUUAAUCACAAUAAUCCUAGAAAAAGUGAAACAAGUUAUAUUUGGGCCCAGAUCUCUGACAGAGAUGUCCAGAGAAAGAGCAGGCUACUUCAUGAGAUUUUAAAUUGAGACAACAGCUUGAAAGAUACCUGGAGACACAGCGAGAGAGGGAACACAAGCAGGGGGAGCGGGAGAGGGAGAAGCAGGCUUCCCGCGGAGCAGGGAGCCCGAUGCGGGGCUCGAUCCCAGGACCCUGGCAUCAAGACCUGAGCCGAAGGCAGACGCUUUAACUACUGAGCCACCCAGGCGCCCCUUGGCUACUCAGUUUUUGCUUGAACAUUUUUGGAAUGAGAUUAUCACUUUAUAAGGUAAUCCAUUGUGGUGUUGAAUGGCACAGUGGGUUAAAUAGUGUCCACCAAAAAUUCAUGUCUACUUGGAACCUCAAAAUGUGACCUUAUUUGGAAUAAGGAUCUUUGCAGAUAUAAUCAAGAUGAGGUCAUAUGGGAUUAGGACAGGCCCUAAAUCCAAUGACUGAUGUCUUUCUGAGAGGACACACAGAGACACACGCAGGGGAGGCCACGUGAAGAUGGAGCAGAGAUUGGAGUGAUGCAGUUUACAAGCCAGGAACGCAAAGGAUUGCUGUGAUACACCAGAAACUCCUAAGAGGCAAAGAAGGAUUCUUCCCUGAAGCCUUCAGAAGGAACAUGGCCCUGUCCUGCCAACACUUGAUUUUGGACUUCAAGCCUGCAGAACUGAGAGAAAAUAAAUUUCUGUUGUUUUAAGCCACAAAGUUUGUGUUAUUUCAGUAGCCCUAGGAAAUGAGUACAAAUGGCUUUGAUUAUUUUAAAUGUAUUUGUUCUUUCAAUCAGCAGACAUUUACUGAGCACAUUUAUAUGCCAGGUACUCUGCUGGGUGUAUCUUGGAGCUUGGUCUAGUAGGAAGGACAGCUUUGUAAAUAUAAAAUUGCAGUACACUUGAUACAUGUUCUCAUUAAGAUAGCAUAUGAAGUUUAGUAGUGGCCCAGUUGAGCUGGGAGAACCAGGGCAGGAUUUAGAAAGAGAAACCUUUGUGCUUGGUUUGAAGAUAGAGCUGAAUCAGCCUCUGUGGGAAUUCUGCGCAAUUCCGCCCCCACUCGUGCUAUCAGUCCUGCCUAGUUAAGGUGUGUUUGGCCUGCUGUGAUAGCAUCCUGUCACUAGAAUUCUCUCUCCUCAGAUCUGUUGAAGUAAUUUUUUAAAUGCAGUCAGCUCGUGCCACUUGCUGAAACAUCAGUGGGUUCUUAUCACAGUGAAAAUAAAAUUCAAACUCCUUUUCGCGCUAUGGCCCCAUGUAAUCUCACACCUGCUAACUUUUCAGUUCCCUCCUUCCACAGUGGUCUUUUUGCUGUGAACACGCCAGGUUUGGUCCCAUCUUUGACUUUGCUCUUGUUCUUCUCUCAAUCUCAAGAUCUUGUCAUGGCUCCUUGUCCUUCCGGUCGCACCCCACUCUGCAGAGGAGUCUUCUCUGACCACCCUAUUUAAAACAGCACCCCACCCCCAGCUGUCCUCUUACCUUGUUUUAUUUGUGGCACACACCACUAACUCGACUGAUUUGUCUGUCUCCGCCUUCCACCCCCACCUUACUCCCCACCCCUGCCACCACAGAAUGUGUGGUCAGGAAGCAGGGAUCUUGUUUACCCUGUUCAGUGCCGUGUCCCUAGCGUGCAACACACAGGAAGUGUUCACUACAGAAGGAUGAAGAAAAAUUUUCUCGUUUAGUCUCAUGCUGUCAUGUCAGAUCAUGUCACCAUAACUGUCUCUGGGAUGAAUCCCAGAUUGUAUUCCUGUAAUUUCAUUUUAUAGUCCCACCUACUCCCUCCCCUUAAAAUUCCACCUUCAUCCUUAUACCCUUUCUGAGCUGCCCACUGUAGUAUGAAACUAUCUGAAUCUCUAAAUUUAGGUAAUCUUAUUUAAGAAUUCUCUGAGGUUUAGAAAACUUGCCCAAAGUAACACAACUCUAAAUGGUGUUUCUAGGAUUUGAACUUAGAUCUGUCUUUGACUAGCGCUCCUCUCUGCUGUACUUGAGUCGGGGGCUGAAUGCUUUUGGUGAGGGGGAGCUAAAUAUCAAGGAUUAGAAUAGGAGCCCUCUCUUAUUUGGAAUAGAAAUAGCAGAUACUUAUUUGUUUCUUUAGGAAGAACUGGGUGAUAUUUGUUAAAAGGAAUUCUAAAAAGAAACUUGAAUUUUUCGGGGGAGGGUUAAAGUUAAUACAUGCUUAUUUAAAAAAUGGAAUAUACUAAAAAAAAAAAAAAAAGGAAAGUAAACACCACCUGUCGCCCUACCACCCAGAAACACUGUUAACAUUUUAGAACAUAUUCAUCCAAUCAUUUUCUGUGCAGAAAUAUUGUGAUGUCAUUUUCAUAUACAAGUUUUUCUCUAAAUUUUGAAAUCAUUUCCUAAUGUAAUUACUAGAUCAGAGCAUACUGUCAGAUUUCCUUUCCAGAAAGGUGGUAUCGGUUUAUAUUUCCAUGAGCAGUAUGUGAGUGCCUUUUCAUACCUUGCUGAUAUUUUUAGUUUCCAUUUCUUGCAUUUUUAUUGAUAUUAAACUUGAAAUAGAUGUUUAUUAUUAAUUACCUGCUAGCUAUUUUCUGUGGCUUGUCUAUAUCCAUUACCUAUUUUUCUAGAACUGAAAUGUGAACUUGGAGGCAAAAAAUUUCAUGCUUGGAAAAGUAUAUUGAAAAUGAUUGACUUGAGAUUUUCUGAAUGUACUACGGAAGCACUCACUGUUAAAACAGCACACAAUCUCUCCCUCAAGCAAUAUUUUAAAUUUAGUGAUACUACCUCAGAUUUUUUACUAGUAAGAAAAUUGGAACAUAGAACUCAUUUUACAUAGCUUUUCUAAAAUCUCAGUUUUUAAAGAUAAUGUCUCUCUUACAUUUAAAAGGUUUUUUUUAGUGGCUUAAAAUAUAACAUGAAGGAGGACAAAUUGAAGAUGAAAGCAAAAUAUAUAUUACCUGACAUGUGUAGAACCAACAUUUUCAUUUUUCCUUUGUUUCAGAGUGAAAAUACUCAAUUCAUUUUCAGAGAAAAACUUUCUGGAAGUGACUUCAAGGAUUUUUGUGGUUGGCCUCAGCUCAUCUCCAGUUGAGGUGUAGUUCUGAUAACUGUCGAGGCUUUCCACACAUACUUCCCCAUCAGUGGUUUUUAAAUUUUAAAUUUCCUUUAGAGCAGGAUUCAUGUGGGCUAUGCAAGAAAAGCCAUUGAAGAUAAAAAAAUAAAAUUUUAGAACUUAUUUUAGCCUUAUUGUUUUAGAUCCUAAUUUUAUUCAUGUUGCAUAGAGUACAUAAAAGUAGAUGUAUACAGUUCAUAAAUAAAUGCAUUACAAGUUUGGAGACCAUUACCUCAGAGCAUCUGUUGAUGGCUAUGAAUUCUUACACACACACACACACAAAAGCCCCAUAUGUAACAUUUCAAAGGGUUCUCAGAGUCCAUUCAUCAUGAUACCCAUUUAACCAUAACCUUCCUUACCUACUGAAUCCAUUUAGCUGCAGUUUUUUGUCUACUGAUUUGUUAUUAACUAUCUCUGAUUUCAGUCCUUAAGGUUGCAGCCCAGGAUUAAGUGUCAAAACACCUGGCCUUAUACACUGAUCUGUCCUGACUUCAGUUUGAUUAGAUUAUGAGCGCCUUAAGAGUGGACGCUGUUUAUUUAGCUGUGUUAAGCCCAGUGCUUCACACAAUGUAGAUACUCAGCAAAUGUAAGAAGUACGUCAGACCCUUAUGAGGUUCUGUCUGUGACUCAGUCCUAGAGUCCAGCUUUCUGCUUUAUGCACCCUCCUUCCCAACCCCCCCUUCCCACAGUGCCGCCUCACACCCUGCUGUGCAAGCUAGUCAUUUCUGUCUUAAAGCCUCUUAUGCCAUCUCAAGGUGGUCACUUUUCACUCUUUGAUGGCUGAUGGAUUUCUGGAGAGUGUCUUGAAGUGGUAUUGGUUCUAUUCCCUUGUGAUAGGUUAGAUCCCUGUUGUUGAGUAACCAGAUGACUAUAGGCAGCCCUUAUCUUCAGUAUUGUGUAGGACAUAAUCCUAGGUCAACCUCUUUGUUUUUAGGAUAAAAGUAUGGAACUAGAGAGUACCAAACCAAGAGAAAAUGGCUAUAAAAUGGCUAUAAAAUUUCCUUGUUAGGAACUAGACUGGUUUGUUCAGGUAGAACACCAGGGAUAAUAGAAAUAUAGGGUGGCCCCAUAUGUAAUUUGAAGUUUCCCUGGAGCCACAUUUUAAACAAUAAAAUGAAAGAGGUGAAAUUAGUUUUAGUAUAUUUUAUUUAACCAGCUAUAUCCAAAAUAUUAACAUGUAAUCGGUAUUAAAAAGAUGUUAAUGAUGUAUUUUUAUCAUUUUAUUUUUGGAGAGCACAUCUCAGUUCUGACAAGCACUAUUUCAAGUACUCUGGAGCCACAAGUGGCUGGUGAUUCAUGUUUUGUGGUACAUCUUGUUAGAGGGAGUCAAGGCCACUUUUUUUGUUAAUAGACAAAUGUGUAGUUAUAUUUUGUAGAGUUCAUGUACAUUUCCCUUGUUCAAGCCUUAAAUUUAAUUAUUGGGAAG